GGGGAAGCGGAAAAGGCUUAGCAGCUACUAAUGGGUUCUAUUAAUAGUAGUAGUGUUAGUUUCCUGAUAAAAGGUCCUUUGGAAACUUUGAUUCUCUUCUCACCAAGUUGAACGGAGAUGUGUUCCCAUAGUAAGAGUGAGGCCCCUGCAUUUGCUGCCCUCGGUUUUCCCAACUAACACCAGGGCCUCCCCCCUGUACCCCAUUCAUAUGCCUCAGAAGCUGACAAUGACUGUUGGGCUUUUCCAAUGAAUACCAGAACACCAUUUCCUGCAGCCUGAAAAGAAGACAGUAUAAUUGUUUGGCAGCAAGAGAAUCCAGGUGCCCUUCCAUGAGAAGCCCAAGCCAUGUGGAGAAGCCACGUCUAGGGACUCCAGUUAACACUCUCAGCUGAGUCCCCAGCUGACAGUCAGCAUCAACUGCCAGCCACCUCUGUCUAAAAGUGGGCUAUCUUGGGCAUCCAGCCCAGUCAAGCCUUCAGAUGAGUCCAGUCCCAGCCACUAUCUCACACAACCACACGAGAGACAUCAAGAACUCCCAGUGGAGUCCAGUCAGCCCAUGGAACUGCAAGAGACAGGAUCUCGCUGCGUUGCUCAGACUGGUCUCGAACUCCUGGGCUUAAGGGAUUCUCCUGCCUCAAUCACAGCCUCCCAAGUAGCUGAGAUUAAAAGUGCUCACCACCGUGCCAGCGAGUUCAGUUUUUGAGGGUGGAGCCAAGACUCUGAGGAGAGGGCUGAACUGUGAACCUAGAAGUACCAUCUCCCCCUGCACACACCUUUGGUCAAGUUGACCCCAAGAAGAAGGACAAGUCCUCUGCACGGCGAUGAGGCCAUACACACAGUCUGUGGCCCGGCUUUGGGAGACUGAUGGGACAAAGGAUGUUUUGCACGAUCCUUGGUCUCUGAGCAAAUAUAUACAUGGGUUAACACAAA
rnacentral:lncRNA from 1 species